CACAGGCCUAUGAGUCAGCAGUCUAAACUCAAUGAGUGAUAGCACUGUGGACAUGAAUAGGAGGAAUAAUCAAAAGGUCUGGCUUGAAUAUUAACAUUCUUGGGCCUCUGUGAGAAUGGACAGGACAGGACAGCAACCUCUGUUUUCCAACACCAGGAUGGCUGACACCGUGAAAAGGGCACUCAGCAAUGGCACAAUGGACAAGAAUCACUUAUCCUCCAAUUUUUACUGGGACUCUAUGGAAGUUAUAUGACUAAAAUAAAUGCAGUGUCUCUAUU